rnacentral:rRNA from 1 species
CCUACGGGAGGCAGCAGUGAGGAAUUUUCCGCAAUGGGCGAAAGCCUGACGGAGCAAUACCGCGUGAGGGAUGAAGGAUUUUGGUUCUGUAAACCUCUUUUCUCAAGAAAGAAGUUCUGACGGUACUUGAGGAAUAAGCAUCGGCUAACUCCGUGCCAGCAGCCGCGGUAAUACGGGGGAUGCAAGCGUUAUCCGGAAUGAUUGGGCGUAAAGCGCCUGUAGGUUGUUUAUUAAGUCCGUUGUUAAAGCCUAGGGCUUAACCCUAGAAAAGCAAUGGAAACUAGUAGACUAGAGUAUGGCAGGGGUAGAGGGAAUUUCUAGUGUAGCGGUGAAAUGCGUAGAUAUUAGAAAGAACACCGGUGGCGAAAGCGCUCUACUGGACCAUUACUGACACUCAGAGGCGAAAGCUAGGGUAGCAAAAGGGAUUAGAUACCCCUGUAGUCCUAGCCGUAAACGAUGGAUACUAGAUGUCGUGCAUUAUGUACAGUAUCGUAGCUAACGCGUUAAGUAUCCCGCCUGGGGAGUACGCUCGCAAAGGGUGAAACUCAAANAGAGUAGAGNGNGAGAAGUGCGACGACGACGACGAGGAGGAGG